GCUGGGCACAGUGGCGUGUGCCUGUAGUCCCAGCUGCUAGGGAGGAUGAGGCUGGAGGAUCACUUGAGCCCAGGAGUUCUGGGCUGUAGUGUACUAUGCUGAUUGGCUGUCCUCGGCAUCAAUAUGGUGACCUCCUGGGAGCAGAGGACCACCAGGUUGCUGAAGGAGGGGUGAACCGGCCCAGGUUGGAAACGGAGCAGGUCAAAACUCCUGGGCUGAUCAGCAGUGGGAUUGCACCUGUGAAUAGCCACUGCACUCCAGCCUGGGCAACAUAGCAAGACCACCAGCCU
rnacentral:SRP_RNA from 1 species